UUUGUUCCCUAAAUAGGGACUUGUAUGAAUGGCCACACGAGGGCUUUACUGUCUCUUACUCCAAUCCGUGAAAUUGACCUUCCCGUGAAGAGGCGGGAAUAUAACAAUAAGACGAGAAGACCCUGUGGAGCUUUAAUUAACCGGCCCAAAGAGACCCCAUUAUCUAACCGACAGGAACAACAAACCUCUGCUAUGGGCCGACAAUUUAGGUUGGGGUGACCUCGGAGAAUAGAACAACCUCCGAGUGAUUUAAAUCAAGACUAACCAGUCAAAAGUAUUACAUCACUUAUUUAUCCAAAAACUUGAUCAACGGAACAAGUUACCCCAGGGAUAACAGCGCAAUCCUAUUUUAGAGUCCAUAUCGACAAUGAGG
rnacentral:rRNA from 1 species